UAACCAUGGCGGACGGGUGAGUAACGCGUAAAGAACUUGCCGGAUGGUCCGGGAUAACAGUCGGAAACGACUGAUAAUACCAGAUAUUAUGAGCCUGCCGCAUAGCCGGCUCAUGAAAAGCAAUGCCAUCCGAGAGCUUUGCGUCCUAUUAGCUUGUUGGUAAGGUAACGGCUUACCAAGGCUAUGAUAGGUAGCCGGCCUGAGAGGGUGGACGGCCACAAGGGGACUGAGAUACGGCCCUU
rnacentral:rRNA from 1 species